GGAACGAACGCUGGCGGCAUGCCUAACACAUGCAAGUCGAACGAGACCUUCGGGUCUAGUGGCGCACGGGUGCGUAACGCGUGGGAAUCUACCCUUGGGUUCGGAAUAACAGUUGGAAACGACUGCUAAUACCGGAUGAUGACGUAAGUCCAAAGAUUUAUCGCCCAGGGAUGAGCCCGCGUAGGAUUAGCUAGUUGGUGAGGUAAAGGCUCACCAAGGCGACGAUCCGUAACUGGUCUGAGAGGAUGAUCAGUCACACCGGAACUGAGACACGGUCCGACUCCGUACGGGAGGCAGCGAGGUAGGGGAAUAGUGGACAAGUGGGCGACAAGCCUGACUCCGAGACAAUCGCCG
rnacentral:rRNA from 1 species